rnacentral:rRNA from 1 species
AUUGAACGCUGGCGGCAGGCCUAACACAUGCAAGUCGAACGAGUGGCGGACGGGUGAGUAAUGUCUGGGAAACUGCCCGAUGGAGGGGGAUAACUACUGGAAACGGUAGCUAAUAACGCAUACCAUCGGAUGUGCCCAGAGGGGAUUAGCUAGUAGGUGGGGUAAUGGCUCACCAAGGCGACGAUCCCUAGCUGGUCUGAGAGGAUGACCCGCCACACUGGAACUGAGACACGGUCCAGACUCCUACGGGAGGCAGCAGUGGGGAAUAUUGCACAAUGGGCGAAAGCCUGAUGCAGCCAUGCCGCGUGUAUGAAGAAGGCCUUCGGGUUGUAAAGUCCUUUCAGCGGGGAGGCGGUACCCGCAGAAGAAGCCCCGGCUAACUCCGUGCCAGCAGCCGCGGUAAUAC